UCUACAAGGUGUGAUAGAAAUAUUGGCAUUUAAAUUAUUUUAAAAUGUAUUAUAGCAAAUAAUGCGUUGGCACCAAUUCCCCGUAAAACAGUUCCCUUCUCUUCAGAGACACUUCUGCCAUCUUUCUCACCACUUUCUGAAGUCGUUCUGGAAGUCCUCUGUAGUCACGCUGUCCUGGCUGCCUCGAUGUCCCGAAUCAGUUCAGACACUGAAUCGAUUCAGUUCACUUUCCGUGGUCAUUUUGACUUUGAGAAGAACCAGAAGUUGCACGCUUCCAGAUCCAGUGGAUAAGGAUCAAACACAGAGCCUCGGGCAUGCCAGAUGAAGGCCAACCCAGGCAGGCAUUCUUCUACGUGUCAGGCAAAAUCAUCCCAAAAGGCGCAUUAGAAGGCAAAAGAGGGAGUGGGCAGAGAAGGCAAUUUAUUUUUCUGACUUACAUAUUAGAGUUAACUAUGAGGCAGAGAAGAUAAGCUACCCAAUGCCAGUCCUGUGUCAACUUCAAAUACAAGGUAACCGAGUCCAACGGGAGCAAAGCAAUGCUUCAUCUUCUUGUUAUUGCCUCUUAAAGACUCCCCCAAGGUCUGCAAUUCUGGGAAGUAUUAUCUAAAGGAGUCUUCAAGUUCAAACAAAAUAUUUCCAAGAACACAGAAAGAAGGGAUUUUCUGGGAGCGAGCGGCACUCAGUCAAAUGACCAGGAAAGACUGGAUGAUCUUUUUAUGUUCUUUGUGGUAAGUUACAAAACUGUCACAUGAAGAGUCGACCAAAGAGUAUGCAGCUAAAAAUCAUAAAAGAAGAAUUGUAGUGGAAUGGCCUCUUACUGACCCCAGAAGCCAGAGGAGAUAUCCAACUUCUGUAGGACUUGCUCUUGGUUUCCAAGUGGAGCUCAGGAGGACUUAGCAUUCACAGUGCCAUCAUGAGACCAAAGAGACCAAGCCCUCAUCUGCUGGUGACUUGACUGGGACUCUCAGCCUUCAGCUAUAAGAAAUAAACUGUUCAUCAUAAAUUGCCCAGUUUAUGGGUCCUUUGUGUUAGCAGCAAAAAUGGACUAGACACCAGAAUCGGCAUCCAAGUGUUUUGUUAUCUAUUCAAAAUAAAGCCAUAGUAUGACGGCAUUUGUUUGUCACAGUGACAUGAUCUGGGGGGCACUUGAGGACAGCUAGGUGAUCUGGAAGAAAACAUUUAAUACAUUUUCUGUAUAUUUUAUG